rnacentral:rRNA from 1 species
GGGUGAGUAACACGUAGACAACCUGCCGACAGGAUGGGGACAACAUUCCGAAAGGAAUGCUAAUACCGAAUGAAGUGCAGGGGAGGCAUCUCCCCUGCAUGAAAGAUGGCCUCUAUAUAUAAGCUAUCACCUGUCGAUGGGUCUGCGUCUGAUUAGCUGGUAGGUGAGGUAACGGCUCACCUAGGCGACGAUCAGUAGCCGGUCUGAGAGGAUGAACGGCCACAUUGGGACUGAGACACGGCCCAGACUCC